rnacentral:rRNA from 1 species
CACACCGCCCGUCACACCAUGGGAGUUGAUUGCUCCAGAAGUGGCCGCACCAACCCGCAAGGGAGGUAGGUCCCUAAGGAGUGAUCGGUGACUGGGGUG